CGAAGCCUUUCAAUUGUCACAGUGCUGUAAGCUCGUAGAGUCAUCAUGGCCUGCCUCCUUAAACUUGUCACGUACAGGUCGCCAUAUGCGUGACCUUCCUCGCGUCUUCAACAUUCGGAGGCCACGUCAAGAGGAGGGGCUACCACGACCAGACUAUCAGGAGGUACACUACAGAGAGAACCUGUUGGUGGAACGAAAUCUGCAAGGAGGA